AAUUCAGCAUAAUUUAAGCUAUCUCCAGGUCUGAAUAUUGAUACUUUUCGAAGGUACAGGUCACCAGCAAUUCAGCAUCUUGUAUAUGUGUGUUCUCGUCCUGCUGUCGCUUAACAGCUGGGCUUACCUGACAAACCACAAUUCACACGCAAAGCAGCGAGUAAUCAGUCACCUAAAACACAACCCAUUUUUCCAUAGCUGCAGGCCGGCCUAGACCAAAUCAAACACAUCAAGGACAAUGUCAACCGGCCGUGCCGGCCAAAAGAUGACAGAUGACAAACGUGUAGACGCAUGUAUGAUCGAUCGAUCGAUCGAGCUGUUCAUCAGCCAUCAGGGCAAGCAGAAUGGUCAUCAACAACUACCAGAGGAAAGAAGCAUCGGCAAGCCAUUGGCCCAUGCCUACCUUCUCCUACUUCUUCUUCCCUUACGUAUUGUCUUGCAAAUUGUAUUUAUAAUUUUUUUGUCCGUGUGAUGCAUGCUUGCCUUGCCUUUUCUCCGUGUGAGAGAGAGCAAGGCGAGAUAUGGACGUCUCAACCAUUUCUACCUAUCAUUUUCUUCUUGGGUUUGCGUUCGCCAUGUCGUUGCUGCCGGCUAUUAAUUCAGCUCGAUGUCUGCAUAUUUCCAUGAACAUUUUCAGCCAUCUCUUGAUCAGUUUACACUUGCGGAGCUGUUGGGCAAACCAUUUAUAUGAGAGGAUAUGAUCUGGUUGCAUCCAAGCGUUUUUCUUGGGCUGGGAGAGUGCGAUGUUGGCAUGGUUCAAUCAAACCGGGCAAACUUAUGCACUAGCUAAGCAAGAUGCAGGGAUAUGCAGUAUGGUUUUGUUUGGUCUGAUUGAGCCGUGCCAAUAUCACAAGCUUGCCUGGCUUAAUUACAUGUAGUAGUGUGAGGAUAUUGGAUUCUUCCACAAGGUAUGAGAAUUGUCAUGUUGUGUAUUUGUGCUCCUUUAUGCGUGUUAUUUCACAUGCCUGCCUAUUAGAUUUAAGUUUCUUUAUGUUGUUUCAUGCAAAGCUUUCAGAAACUAUUUUGUCUGACGGUUCAAGCUUUACAGAUUUAAGUUUUGCUGCUGGUACUAGCUGGUCAAAUGGCACUAAAAGGUUUAAAACCAUGUGAAUAUUUAUGAAUAUCAAUGUAGUAGUAACAUAAAUCUUACUCCUAUCAAAGAAAAAUCCCUCAUCAGCAGCACACUAAUCCUGACGUGUACGCAACCAAACAAGCCCUGCUUCUGUUCUUCCUCUUCUUCUUUUUCACACUGUUUUUCAGUUGAGUAGUUAUCUUUCAUGCAUGCUUUGGUGUAGAUUGAGAUGUCCAACUUGAUGUGAUGAUCUGGAAAAGAAGAAGCAAUCUGAAGGUUGUCCAACUUAAGGUUUGAUGCCUUAGAUCAAAUGGCCCAGCAUCUGUACCUAACCUAGAUGAUAUGACCUAAAACCUGCAACGAGCUGUCUGAAUGUCUGAUCGAGAAGCAAUCUGAAGCCUCUUCUUUUUUCAGAUACUAUAAUGCCAUUGACCUGACUCUUCAGGUUGUGCUAUCUCCAGGCACCAUGUCCUCUCAAGGCCCAUUUAGAAAGGCCAAUCCACACGGUCCAAGAAAUGGCCCAUUAAGGGUCUUGAUGCAGAGGAUGAAGAUGAACAGUGAUCGAUAUGCUCAAAUGCAUAAGGGAGCCGUAUUGAUUCUCUGAUUAAAAAAAUAUCCAACGACUUGGAUUUAGGCCAUGUUAUAUUCACUGGAUUAUUGAAAAAGAUUAUUUACUGUAUUCUUAAAAAAUAUGUUUUUUUUCCUCAAAAGACUGUCUUCUAUUGUACUGUUUAGAGCACUUGUUUUAAGUUUGGAGUAUUUGUAAAGCUUAUUUGUUUUUUGAACGGAAGCCAGCACUAGAGCGUGCUAUUUAAUUGAAUAUAGAUGAAGAAAAAUACAACCCCUAGGAGUAAGGAAAAACUGUACAGAGUUACAUGUCGUCUAUGAAGAAAAAUUCCCCAAGUUUUUGCCUCCUCCUUUAUUUUUAUCAUAAGUCGAUAAUUCGCUAGUAAUCUUAAAUCAAACUGGGCCUUAUUCAUAAAGCAGUGUUUUGAAUAAUAUUAAAAUCAACUGCUUUUGCUACAUCAUCCAUGAUCAUCUCGUAGUCACUUAACAGCUACAGAGCGAGCCGUGCUGCCCUGUCUUUAGUGCCUUGUUUGAAACAAGCCCUUGAUGUUGUACAAGCUAAAGUCUCACUCGAUCGACAAAUAUAGUGCAGAAGAUGACAGACUAUGGGUCUGAAAAAACUGAUGAGUACUUCAUCAACAGCAAUUCACCCAAUGAGCUUUGAUAGUUUCAUGAAGGCGAUCAUGAUGAAGUCCCAAAUGCUGUCUCGUUAGCUUUUCGAUCAGUGUGGCUGAAAGAGAAGUUGUCCGGGAAUCGCGAUGAUACGUACUAAUUUGCUACAAAAGGAUAAAACAGUGCUUCUGACAACAAUGGCGUCUUCACUGUCUGUGCACUGUAGAUGAACCUGCAUGAUCAUUUGUAUAUAUACAGUUUGACGCAUCAACGCAUGGAUAUUUGAGUAAUCGAAUCUUGAGGCUUUAAGUUUCUUUUAA